GAUCAUGGCUCAGAUUGAACGCUGGCGGCAGGCCUAACACAUGCAAGUCGAACGGUAGCACAGAGAGCUUGCUCUCGGGUGACGAGUGGCGGACGGGUGAGUAAUGUCUGGGAAACUGCCUGAUGGAGGGGGGAUAACUACUGGAAACGGUAGCUAAUACCGCAUAAUGUCGCAAGACCAAAGAGGGGGGACCUUCGGGCCGUCUUGCCAUCAGAUGUGCCCAGAUGGGAUUAG
rnacentral:rRNA from 1 species